rnacentral:misc_RNA from 1 species
GGAGGAGAUUGAGAAGAUGGUUCAGGAAGCAGAGAAAUACAAAUCUGAGGAUGAGGAGCACAAGAAGAAGGUUGAAGCCAAGAAUGCUUUGGAGAACUACGCUUACAACAUGAGGAACACCGUGAACGACGAGAAGAUUGGUGCUAAGCUUUCCCCGGCCGACAAGAAGAAGAUUGAUGAUGCCAUCGAACAGUCGAUCCAAUGGCUCGAUGCCAACCAGCUUGCCGAGGCAGACGAGUUUGAGGACAAGAUGAAGGAGUUGGAGAGC